CUUCUCGUAGGGUGAACCUGCGGAAGGAUCAUUG
rnacentral:rRNA from 1 species